rnacentral:rRNA from 1 species
UACAGAGGGGGCAAGCGUUGUUCGGAAUUACUGGGCGUAAAGGGCGCGUAGGCGGCCAACUAAGUCGGACGUGAAAUCCCCGGGCUCAACCCGGGAACUGCGUCCGAUACUGGAUGGCUUGAAUCCGGGAGAGGGAUGUGGAAUUCCAGGUGUAGCGGUGAAAUGCGUAGAUAUCUGGAGGAAUACCGGUGGCGAACGCGGCAUCCUGGACCAUUACUGACGCUGAGGCGCGAAAGCUAGGGGAGCAAACAGG